rnacentral:rRNA from 1 species
ACACACGUGCUACAAUGGGAAGUACAACGAGUCGCGAAGUCGCGAGGCUAAGCUAAUCUCUUAAAGCUUCUCUCAGUUCGGAUUGUAGGCUGCAACUCGCCUACAUGAAGCCGGAAUCGCUAGUAAUCGCGGAUCAGCACGCCGCGGUGAAUACGUUCCCGGGCCUUGUACACACCGCCCGUCACACCACGAGAGUUUGUAACACCCGAAGUCGGUGAGGUAACCUUUUGGAGCCAGCCGCCUAAGGGGGGAUAGAUGAUUGGGGUGAAGUCGUAACAAGGUAGCCGUAUCCGAAGGGGCGGGUGGAUCACCUCC